CGGCCCGGGAAGCCCUCCGCGGCCCAGCAGGCCCGGACCUCGGUCCGGGAAGUCCUCCGCGGCCCAGCAGGCCCAGACCUCGGCCCGGGAAGUCCUCCGCGGCCCAGCGGGACGGCGGCGGCCUCAGAGCCUGGGCUGCGGAGGGUGAAGCCGCAGCCCACGAGGCUGGGGCUGGCGGGGCUGCACGUCCAUCUAGCUGACGACCUUUGCUGGGGCUCGGACUCACUGAAAGGCGGGCGGGGUUCCCUAAGUCUUUCCUGAGAGGUGCCGGUGAUCCUCGGCCUGCCUACCAAGGGCCGCUUUACUCUUCCAGUGAAGUAUAUCUCCUUUAGGAAAGCCACCACUUCGCCUCCCGAUCUAGCCAUGUAAUUAAGAGAAAGUCCCAGGCUUUAAGAAAUGAGUUCUAAAAUUUUGACUUAGAGUAGGGAAUUCUUCCUUUAAAAGAGUUUCUUUUGUACUCUAGGGAGCUCCCGUGGCAUAAUGGUUAAAGUUCUGAAGGCCGGUGCUUGGAACCCACUGGCUGCUCUUUGGGAGAAAAGGCCUGGGGGUCUGCUCUCAUUAGGAUCACAGCCCAGUAAGUCCUAUGGGGCAGCUCUGCUCUGUCGUAGGUGGGGAUUUGCUCUCAUAGAGAUCACAAUCCAGGAAGACCUAUGAGGCAGCUCUGCUCUGUCAUAGGUGGGAUCUGCUCUCAUAAGGAUCAUAGCCCAGGAAGCCCUAUGGGGCAGCUCUGCUCUGUCAUAGGUGGGGAUCUGCUCUCAUAAGGAUCACAGCCCAGGAAGCCCUAUGGGGCAGCUCUGCUCUGUCGUAGGUGGGGCCCUGCUUUCAUAGAGAUUACAGCCCAUGAAGCCCUAUAGGACAGCUCUGCUCUGUCAUAGGGUCACUAUGAGUUGGAAGCCACUCGAUGGCACACAACACUGAAAUAGGGCAAGGUAGAAAACUAGACUACAUGCGGUUCGGUCCGGCUCUGAGACCGAGCAGACAAGAGACUUGGUAAAGUGCUGGGGAAACUGGGGAGAACUGGAUUAUGACGUGCGGGCAACCCUCCGCGUCCUCACUGCUCGGAGAGCCUCAGGAGAAACCGGAGCUCUACACCGGUCACCUGCGCGGUCGAGGAGCGGGUCGAACUGCGGAACGCGAUCUCAGGGCUCCUGUGUUCCCGCCGGAGUCUGGGGCGGGGACGCCUGCGCAGGCGCAGUGUGAGGCGAAGGGCAUGGCGGUAGAGGUUCUGCUGUGCUCAGCCUUGGCAGCCUUGGCCUGGGGCUUUCUCCGGGCCUGGGGCUUCCUCUGGGGCUGCGGCGCCGCGGAGCCGACGAGGAGCUGGGAGCGGACGGACCAGCUGGGCGCCGGGAGCCGGACCCUCCUGGUCACCGCGCAUCCCGACGACGAAGCCCUGUUCUUCGCCCCGACGGUGCUCGGCUUGGCCCGCCUGGGGCACCGAGUGUCCCUGCUCUGCUUCUCCGCAGGAAAUUACUACAGUCAAGGAGAGAUUCGUAAGAAAGAACUUCUGCAGAGCUGUGGUGUUUUGGGGAUCCCAUCCUCCAGUGUAAUGAUUAUUGACAACAGGGCUUUCCCAGAUGACCCAGGUGUGCAGUGGGACACAGAGCAUGUGGCCAGCGUCCUCCUCCAGCACAUAGAAGCUAAUGGCAUCAACCUGGUGGUGACUUUCGAUGCCAGAGGAGUAAGUGGUCACAUCAAUCACAUUGCUCUUCAUGCAGCCGUGAGUGCUCUGAAUGGCACCUCAUGGCUCCUCCAACAGACUCUGCACUCAGAAGAGAGGUUACCUAAAGGAUGCUCUGUGCUCACGCUCGAGACUGUGAACGUGGUGCGCAAGUACAUCUCCUCUCUGGAUCUGCCCUUUUCUUGGCUUCAGACUCAGAGCGCCCUAUUUGUGCUUACCAGUGAAGAGGUGGCACAGGCCAAGAGAGCCAUGUCCUGCCACCGCAGCCAGCUCCUCUGGUUCCGCCGCCUCUACGUUAUCUUCUCCCGGUACAUGAGAAUCAACUCACUGCACUUCCUCUGAAGCCGUGAAGAAUUUUGAGAUCCAAGAAACAAAGGAGGAAAGGACCGGGAAACCUGGGGAUCUGACUUUAUCUCCCUGCAGCAAAGGAGCUGGCAUCUCGCUGGGCCUCACCAAGGCUUAAAGGGAGCCAAUCUCAGAGGCAGAAGGGGACCUCCCUACCAUCAAGAAGAAGAGCCAGGAGCAGAGCAUGUCUUUUGAACCCAGGGUCCCUGUGCUGAGAACCUCCUAGACCCAGGGGACAGAGGGAAUUGUAACACUGGAGACGAUGCGAAGCAGUGGCAAGCACAGCAGAGUCCAGUGGCAGCAGAACCAGGAGAGCAGCAUGAGACGGUGAGGUAGGCUCCCUGGCCCGUGGAGCGAGGCGUCUACAGUGGGCAUGCUGAUCCACAGAGCAAGAGAGCUGAGAGCUUCUGGGCAGGAGGCUUCCUGGCAGAGUAGGGUGCCUCCAGGCACUUACUGGCGGAGCUAAAGAGCUUUGUAACAGCUGCUCAAGCAGGGCAGAGGCCAGGCCAAGAGCCAAGGGCCAAGAGAGGAGGCCUGUCCUCCCGGAGCCGAGAGGAACUGAGAGAGCUGUCCUACACUGAAAAAAAAGAGACCUUGCCUACAUGUUCCCUGACCCUGAUCCCGAGAUAUAGCCUCUUACUUCCCUAGUAAACCCCAUAACUGUGAGUACGGUCUGUGAGUUCUGUGUGGCCAUUACAACGAAUUAUUCAACCCAGCAGAGUGGUGCUGUGGGAGUGACAGUUGGUGUCAGAACUGGUCAAGGUUGGAGAGAGGAGGUAGGUCUGACCUCCACCUCAUUGGAAUCAGCCCCAGAUGUUUAUCUUGAUUCUCCUCCCCACUUUGUGGAGCUAGGGGACCUCUGAUGCUACCAUGCCAUUUUUACAGGGGAAGUUAAAAAUAAACUAACAUUUUUAUUUACUGAAUGUCUGGUGCCUAAUUGUGAUCGAUGUCACUCGAGGGCAAGCUCUCAGCUACCCCUUUCUCCACGUGUCUUAGUCAUCUAGUGCUGCUAUAACAAAUAAAGGUGGAUGGCUUUAACAAAGAGAAGUUUAUUUUCUCACAGUAAAGUAAGCUAAAAGUUCAAAUUCAGGGUGUCAGCUCCAGGGGAAGGCUUUCUCUCUCUGUGGGCCUUCUCAUCAGUCUUCCCCCAGACUAGGAGCUUCUCCGAACAGGAACCCCAGGUCCAAAGGAUAUGCUCUGCUCCUGGCACUGCUUUCUUGGUGGUAUGAGGUCCCCUGUCUCUCUGCUCACUUUUUUCUUUUAUAUCUCAAGAGAUUGCCUCAAGACACAAUCCAGUCUUAUAGAUUGAGUCCUGCCUCACUAACACAACUACCACCUAUCCUCCCUCAUUGACAUCAUACAGGCAGGAUUUAUAACAUAUAGGAAAAUCACACAAUACCAGGAAUCAUGGCCCAGCCCAAUUGAUACACACAUUUUUGGGGGACAUAAUUCAAUCCAUGACACCAUCCCAGCUCCUUUUGCAGAGUCACAUAGUAGCUAAGAUGAGCCAGCUGCAGGGAAUGAGUGCAGCUGAGGCUGCAGGUUCUACGCCAAGUUCUGGGAAGAGGAUGGGCCCAGAACUAGGUGCUCCUUGGUGCCAGGAGAGAGCUAGGGGACAAGCAGUGCAGGAGGGCUGCCACCCACCACUGUAGUAGUGCCAUUGCGCCAGGUGGAACACAGCCCUGGGGCACUUGUCUUGGCAAGAAGAAAAUGUCAUUGUGCAAAUCAUCAAAAGGUAGCCUCUGGUGAAAUGAGUUCCUUCAUGUGGCCUUUUGCCUUGGUUCUUUGGAUAAAUAGCUUAGGAGAUUUUUUCCCUAACCCCAAGGAGUUACCUUUGCACUAGUUCUUCAGAGAAGCAACUUGGAGGGCAGGGGGCAGGUUGUUUUCUAUCCCAGACGGUUUGUUACUUUUGCCCAGGGGGUUCCCCAGGUUGACUGACAUUUCCUGAGUAAGCUGGAAACAACUUGACCUUUUGAUAAGCCUAUCUGGUAAUUAACAGACCUGAGUUGAUUGACAUUUCAUGGGUAAUUGAGGAUUGGUCGAUCUCUAGUCUGGUGAGGAAGGCCCCAUAUUGUAAUUGAUGAGGAUCAGGAUAUAUAAGAGGCUGAAAUGGCUGAGGUUUUAAAGGCUUCGUGGUUGAGAGAGAGAUGCUGUGUAAGAGCUGGGCUGGCAGAGAAACAGAGCCAUGUGGAAGCUAAGUGAUCCCAAAACUGCUACACUGUUUAUGAGCUAGGCCAGUUAGCUGUGGAGCGGCCUGACAGCAGGGAAGCCUGAAGGCAGAGAGCAGCUAAGAGAUCUGAGCAAGCUGCUACACUGGCUGUGAGCUGGGCUACUUAGCAGCAGAGACACCAACAGGGGAGAGGCCCCGCAGCAAAGAGGCUCCGGCUGCAGAGGACUGUCCAAGGUCCUAAGUGAGAAAUGUACCAACAGGGAGCAUUUUUACUCCAAGGGUUACCCUGUGAGAAAACUGUCCUGAUUGACCAGUUGCAUCCUGAGUUAUAUCCUGUUAUGUCCAAAUUGCAUCCUAUCCUGAUCCUAUUCUGAGUAGUAUCCCAGUAAACCACUUAGCUGUGAGUACAGUUUGUGAGUUCUGUGAGAUGUUGCAGGAAAUUACCAAACCCAACAAGGGGGUAAGUGGGGAGGAGAGUACUGAAAGAACGGGAAAUGGCUGGUGUCAGCAGGUGGGUUGGCACAGCAGCUUGGAGAAGUUGGAAAUCCAGAAUAUAUUUAACCUCUGCCUCAUAGGAACCAGUUCUGUACUGAUUCUUAUUCAUGAAAUUACUUGUUUACAUCCCUUCUUCCAGGCAGACACACACUCACGUGGUGAGAGCAUCCACUCACCCCCACAGCCAGAUGCCCUUGUGUCGUUAGCCACCUGCAAAACUGCACAGCAGCCCUGAAGCCUGGAGUAAAGAUCAGAAUUCCAUGGUUCCUUGAAGGAGCACAGCAAAAAAACAAACAACAAAAACCCCAACUAAGUAAGAACCUCCUCGUAGAGGGGAGCUGUAUCUACUUUCCUGGAGUCCAGGGAGGGCCACCUGGUUAGGGGUGGGGUAACCAUGAGUUAGAGAAACCUGCAAACAACUUCUAACUCUGGCUUCAGUAGAGGGAUUAUGGUUUGCCAGUUCUCACCACUGACCCAGCAGAGCUAACACUGCUGGGUCUCCCAGGCACUCACUGUUUUGACACUCCUCCUGGCCCCUAGGAAACACAAACACCAUGAGCGGCCACACACAAUACACCUGAGGAGGUUUUGAGGGUGAGGAAUUCUAGUACCUGGGGCUGGGAGAUCUCACUGAAGUAGCGCUUAGCAGAAGAGACUUUAUCAUGACAAUAAUGAAAACUUAGGCGUUGGCCCAAAAAAGGAUGUUACUCAGCAGGGACUAAAUUAAUAACCUGGAGUAUCAGGUAAAAAUGGAAAUCGUGAAGGAAAAGAGAUUUAAAAAGUACAUCUAGGAGAUCCACAUGUGAAUAAUGACCCCUGCCGUCGAGUCGAUUCUGACUCAUAGCGACCCUAUAGGACGGAGUAGAACUGCCCCAUAGAGUUUCCAAGGAGCACCUGGCAGAUUUGAACUGCCGACCUCUUGGUUAGCAGCUGUAGCACUUAACCACUAUGCCACCAGGAAAGAAAAAUGACAGAUGGGUGAUAAUAAAGGCUAGACAGACCUAGGUUAGUGCAUUUGAAGGGCCCACCAAGUCCUAGAUAGCUCUGGUUUUUAAAAAUAUACAAAAUAUGCUGGUGCUAUUCCUAAAUCCCAAAUUGGGGAAAGGAAUAAAAGUGUUCUAAAAGCACCUCAGGGCCAAGGGGAGACUAGGGAAGUAAAGCAUCAUGGCACAGGGCUGACAAAGAGCAGAAAAAUACACAAUUAAGUUUGGAUUUAGGAACUGAAAUGUAACCACGUGCAGAAUUGAAAAAUGUGGUAUCCAAAAACUAAGGGGAAAGCAGGAAAUAAAAAGAAAAGCCUGUAUAUACAAUUCCAACUCAUAAUGACCCUAUAGGACAGAGUAGGACUGCACCAUAGGGAUUCCAAGCCUAUAAAUCUUUACGGACACAGACUGCCACGUCUUUCUCCCAUGGAGUGGCUGGUGGAUUCAAACCACUGACCUUUCAGUUAGCAGCCUUUGGGUAAGCAGCCGAGCACCUAACCACUACACCACCAGGUUUCCUUCUAUACCGAUGUUGGACAGCCACAAACAGCCUGUCUCCUAACGAUGGACUUGGUACUCAGACGACCAGAAUACUGAACCAUGGUGCCUGGGUGAUACUGGUCAGAAGAAAACAUAGCAAACCAGCAGGCCAGGGCAAUGAUCUCCCAAUUUUGAUUUUCCAAUAACACCUAUCUUCUAAGUGCUAGUAUAUAUGUUAUAAAACACACAAAGAAGACAUUUUAAAAUGAUGAAAGAUAAAUAUAAAAUCCAAAAUUUCUUUCCACAUACCAAGCAUUUCCUGGAGUAUGCACUUUACCAUGGAGACCACUGGUCUAUCAGUGAUGAAAAGCAUUGAGGUUUCUUGGUAGAAAGAGAAUGUGUGAGGUCAGUGAAUUCUAGGAAAAGUGAACCAAUCAAACUUUAUGGAGAGAAGAACAGGAUGGAAGAGUGACUACAACUACAGAAUGUUUAUAUUCUUGGGACAAGAUGGGGGUGAACCAAAACCAGUACUAGGUUGAUCAGAGAGCUACGGUCUUGGUCAGGGCUGGACCCUAUAGGCACUACCACCUGUCCUAUCCCUACCAGUGGGACUCCAACCCCAUUCGUGGUUUAAUUAACCUCCACCUUGGGGAAAGGUUUGAGGAGGAGUUUGGUAGAGGUGAGGUCAUAAGAGAAAUAAUUUUAGUUAUAUAUAAAGAGCUAACCUGAGCCUAUGAGCUUAGAGUUACCAAUGUGUUAUUUCCCCUGUUGAUUUGGGUUAAGUCAAUGUAUGGUGAUGGCAUUCUUGCCUUGAAUGAAACCCCAGGAAGCAGCAAAAGUGUACCCCCUUGGAAUUUCUGUAAGUUUUCCUGGGACUCGAGCAACCGUAGUAUCUACUGCUUGGACUGCUCUUUCCACCCCAACAGGGGCAAUGGAGGUGGAACAGGGAGUCAACAGAUCAUCCUUGAGAUUUUCAUCAGUCACAAAAGUAAGCACUGGCCCUUGUACCUUGAGUUUUAAAGUAAAGGUUGAUCUUGCAGUUCUUGCAAGUCUUUAAAACAGUUUUCUUCCUUUAUGAAUUGAGAAUACAACAAAUACUCCCUCAAACGCCUUAGCAGAGGAUGUAAGAGAAUAUUGUGUGAAAGGCAGCUUCAUGACCAAGAGACAGUGAGACUCUGGAGUCAAGAAGGGAAAGUGACACCAUGCAGAGGACCUCCAUGUUGGUUUGCUCUCCAGCUCACUCCAAGGCUGCAAGGCUGUUACUGAUGGUAUCUGAUAUUCCAAGUCACUCAGUCUUAGCCAGAGCUGCUUCUGGCUGAUAUCAAAUCCUUGCUUCUUGUAAGCCCCAAACAAAUGGGAAAAUACCAACUUCUAAGAUGAUGGCUAAGUAGGCACUAGCUAGGACACUUUUCCACUCAGGGACUCAUUAACAGUUUCAGACUUCUGCUGGUGACCUCAGAGCAGAGAGAGAACACCACUGGCGAGAUAAAAGUUUAACAUACCAAGCACAAUAGCAUUUCUCCCCACCAGGGAAAACCAGUUGCAACAUGUAAAAACAGAAACAACAAAACUUCACUCACAAGAACAACAAAAAAAAUCAAGUAACUAGGACUAAAACUAACGAAAUGUGCCAUUUAUACUUCUAUAUGGAGACUAGCAUAAAACUUGACUGGAAAAGCAUGGAGGAACAAACCAACUGGUAAAACAUACAGCACCCCUAGAUGAUAAAACUCAAUGCUCUAAAGAAGCAUAUUCUCCCCAAAUUAAUUUAUAAAUUCAGUGCAAUCUCAAUCAAAACCCAAACAUGAUUUUCUAUACCUAAUACAUUAAUUCUAAAAUACAUCUGGAAGACAAAAUACACAAAAAAUAAUGAGGGGGAAAUUUAUCCUAUUAGAUUUUCUAAAAUGCAUUAUAAAACUUCAGAGAUUUAAAAAAAAAAAAAUGUGGUAUUUGUGGAACUACAGAAAGAUAGAUUAAAAGAAAAAUGAAGAAUCCAGAAACAAUCCCAUUUAGUAAAUGUAGCAUUUUAAAUCAGUGAAUCAAUGGAUUAGUCAAUGAAAGUGUUGAGGCAGCCAGCUGUACAUUUUUAGAGUAGGGAGCUAAACACCUACUUCAUACCACUUGCAAAAAAUAAACACUACCUACAAGAAAAAAUACUUAGAUGGAUUAAGGAGCUAUAUUUGGAGGAGGGGGGAGACUAUGAAAGCAGUAGAAGAAAAUACAGGUAAAUAUGUUUAUACUCCAGAAAACCAAUUUUUUUAAAAAUCUGACAAAGUGGAUUCCAUCAAAAUUUUAAAACUCUAAAAACAGAACAAGUGACAGACUGAAAGAGAGUAUCUGCAAAAUGCAUAUCAAAGAAUAUCCUGAGCGUAAAGAACACCUACAAAUGAAGUUUUAAAAUAGUAUCUGAAGAGGCAGGGCCAAGAUGGCACAGUAGUCAGGCACUUCCAGUAAUCCCUCUUACAACAAAGACCCGAAAAAACAAGUGAAAUGAUUAUAACAAGCUAGGAGCCCUGAACAUCAAAGGCGAAGUUAGAAAACGGACCAAGCGGGAGUGGGGGCGGGGAGAGAUGGUUCAGAAGUGGAGAGGAGUUGCUGGACCCAAAUCGCUGGGAACCCUCAGAUACCACUCCCCUGAGCGACUGCUGUGGGCUGAUGGUAGUGUUUGGCCACAGUUUCCUUAGGGAGAAACACCAGCUGCACAGCGUACUCACACCUCCGGAACCAGAGAGGAACAUCACUCUCAGCAAAAACUAAGUACUUAUAUUUUACCUCGCCCCACCCCCAAGCCGACUUCAGUGACUGUUGAUUUCCCUGGGCCUAACAUAGGCUCUGCUGAGCACCCUGACCCAUUCCCCUGGCCUUGGAGAAGGAAUACAUUCACAACUGGGGGAAAAGAUAAUUUGCCAGAUCCAUUAACCUGGGGAGCUCAGGACAGAAGUGGCUCCUGUCCAGGCAUAAGCAGUCCAUGGAGUUUGAAUACCUUCCCCCCUGCAUGGACAUGUGUGGGCCUAUUUCAGGAGAAUAGGCCAUUGUUGACAGACUGCAACUGUUUCAGCUGUGUGGUGGAUAGAUGGGUGUUUGAUGUUUGACACCGCUUUGCCUGUUAAACAGGGUCCUCACCUACCCACAUUAGGGGCUUAAGGACUGGUGGCUCCACUCAGGUCACCCCACCACCCGUGACAGGGGUCCAAGGAUAACUGGUACCUCCCAGUCCUUACGAACAAAAGCACUGGGUGCCCAUGGUCCAUCUGCAGAACCCACCCUCAAAAAGACAAACAACCCAAUGAAAAAAUGGGCAGAAGAUAUGAACAGACACUUAACUAAAGAAGACAUUCAGGUAGCUAACAGAUACAUGAGGAAAUGCUCAUGAUCAUUAGCUGUUAGAGAAAUGCAAAUCAAAACUACAAUGAGAUUCCAUCUCAGUCCAACAAGGCUGGCAUUAAUCCAAAAAACACAAAACACUAAAUGUUGGAAAGGUUGUGGAGAGACUGGAACACUUACACACUGCUAGUGGGAAUGUAAAAUGGUAUAACCACUUCGGAAAUCGAUUUGGCACUUCCUUAAAAAACUAGAAAUAGAAUUACCAUAUGAUCCAGCAACCCUGCUCCUUGGAAUAUAUCCUAGAGAAAUAAGAGCCUUUACACAAACAGAUAUAUGCACACCCAUGUUUACUGCAGCACUGUUUACAAUAGCAAAAAGAUGGAAGCAACCAAGGGGCCCAUCAACGGAUGAAUAGAUAAAUUAUGGUAUAUUCACACAGUGCAAUACUGCACAUCAGUAAAGAACAGUGAUGAAUCCAUGAAACAUUUCAUAACAUGGAGGAAUCUGGAAAGAAUUAUGCUGAGUGAAAUUAGUUGCAAAGGACAAGUAUUGUACGAGAACACUAUUAUAAGAACUCGAAAACAGUUUAAACAGAGAAGAAAAUGUUCUUUGAUGGUUAUGGGGGGGGAGUGAGGGAGAGGGCUUUUCACUAAUUAGAUAGUAGAUAAGAACUAUUUUAGAUGAAGGGAAAGACAAUACACAAUACAGGAGAGGUCAGCACAACUGGACUAAACCAAAAGCAAAGAAGUUUCCUGAAUGAACUGAACGCUUCAAAGGCCAGCAUCGCAGGGGUGGGAGUUUGGGGCCAUGAUUUCAGGGACAUCUAAGUCAGCUGGCAUAAUAGACUCUAUUAAGAAAACAUUCUGCAUC